UACAGAGGCCACGAGCGUUAGGCGGAAUCACUGGGCUUAAAGCGUGUGUAGGUGGUUGGGCAAGUACUUUGUGAAAUCCCACGGCUCAACCGUGGAACUGCUUGGUAUACUGCCUGUCUUGAGGCACUCAGGGGCGAGCGGAACAGAUGGUGGAGCGGUGAAAUGCGUAGAUAUCAUCUGGAACGCCAAUGGUGAAGACAGCUCGCUGGGGGUGUACUGACACUGAGACACGAAAGCCAGGGGAGCAAACGGG
rnacentral:rRNA from 1 species